AUACCCCUCUGGGGGCAGAACUCCUCGAACACACCCCCAGCUUCUGCACCACCGACUACUUCUGAACGCCUCCUUGUCCCAGGGACGACACUCCCGAGCAGCCUGAGGUACCAAGCCCGCGGCCCCCGCGAAAAGCGCUGCAACAUGGGCGCCGCCAUCUUGCGGGCGGCUCGAGGCGAACCUCGGUGCUUUGGACCUUCCCACCCCUGAGCCCUCCGACACUGUCUUCUGUCAAUUCUAGUUUUACCUCAGGAGGUGAAUGUAAAACCCUUUGGGAGUCCAUCUUCCUAUAUAAUAUCAAGAGCUUCGUUCAUAGUUUCAAGUAGAAGCACAUUGGAUAAGUUGGUAUGAGAUUGUGCCAGUCUCCUCCUGAUCUCUCGAAUAAGUGAGGUGGGCAAAGAAGCAAGAAGAGGAUCACAUUUUAUCUUCCUGAAAAGUAUACGAGCACAAAGAAGAGGUCAUGGGAGUACAUGGUGAGAUGGUGGCUGUCUACAAGCCGGAAGAAAGCUCUCCUAGGAACUGAAACAACUGACACCUUGAUCUUGGACUUGGCCUCCACAAUGGUAAAAGACAUAAAUCUCAGCUGUGACCAAAAG